GCCUUCGUCUUACCCUGCAGUGUUUGGGUGCUGGUUUGGUCUCUAAUACUGCCGGGUAAUGAUGGAGGC
rfam:Cavia porcellus supercont2_107 genomic scaffold, whole genome shotgun sequence.